rnacentral:rRNA from 1 species
CAGCCGCCACGGUAAUACGGAGGGAGCUAGCGUUGUUCGGAAUCACUGAGCGUAAAGCGCACGUAGGCGGCUAUUCAAGUCAGGGGUGAAAGCCCGGGGCUCAACCCCGGAACUGCCUUUGAAACUAGAUAGCUUGAAUCUUGGAGAGGCGAGUGGAAUUCCGAGUGUAGAGGUGAAAUUCGUAGAUAUUCGGAAGAACACCAGUGGCGAAGGCGACUCGCUGGACAAGUAUUGACGCUGAGGUGCGAAAGCGUGGGGAGCAAACAGGAUUAGAUACCCCAGUAGUCCCUGUCUCUUAUAC